UAUCUAUUGUCUAGGAGGCUCAGAACCGUAUUUGCUUAGCUCUUUGGCGCGUGGUUUCCACGGACGGGCUAUGGUUGCUCUCAAUCCCACCGUUUUAUGCUCGUGGAGCUGAAGAAUGAUUGAUUGUUCUGAACUUCAUCGAUUUGAGGCAGAUUAUUGUCCCAAACCUUAGCAGUUAGAGUCGAAUGAAGUUUUCUGUGAGAUCUACAGCUUAAGUUACAGGACAUACGUCGGAUCUGCUCCAUUAAUAUGGAGAACGGGAGCAUACCUGUUGGGAGUCCGAUGGUUGAUGGGCGAGAUAAGCUGGAUGUUUGCCGAGCGAUUAUAUUGAUUCAUGAAUUAUGUUGUAAAUGGAGCAGUGCAGGAUUGAAAUUUAUGAUGUAAAAGGAGAAAUUGGGGCAGAGGAGGCCUAUUUUCAUGGGGCUGAGUCCCAAUUGAUCUUUUUGUCAUCCCAGACCUUUGCCAUGUCAGGUGCGCUUGCAUGGCAGGUCCCAAAUUUAAUAAAAAUAAGAACUUUUUUUGGUUGAGGGGGAGAUCGCACGGGAUAUUCUAGCCCGGGAUCUCUCCCUUUGGUGGUGUGCCCUGUGUUUACUUGCUUUGCUAUCCUUUUGGUCCUCAACAUCCAACGUUCUCACACAAUCAACAAUCCCAACACGAUGGAAGCAUAUGGAUCAACAUCAUCUUGCUAACCAAAAGGUAUAAAGCAUGCAAUUAAUUUACGUUUUCAGAUUUAAAUUCACUUGGUUACCUUAGUUUAGAAGGCAAAGCAUGUCAGAAUCUGGUUUGUGGCAAAAAUACCAAAUUCAAAUGGUUACAAAAAAAUUAAAAUUUGAAACUAAUCACCCCUUUUAUAUGAGAUUGAAAAGAUUAAAAUUGAAAAGGAGUUUCAAAAUUUUUAUGUCAUUUAUAUUUCUACUAUUGAGUUUCAACUUACAGCCAUAAUCUUUUAUGGUAAAAUUUAUGACUAUUGAUUAUAAUUAUGUUUCAGAAUUUUGGGUGUGUAAUAGAAAGAAAUUAAAAGUUUUGUACUAUCAAUUAUCCAUAAUCUUUGUCAAACAUUGAGAAAGUGGAUACUUUAACCUGUAAUGACAUUAAACUAACUAGUUGAAUGUACUCCAAGCAUCAAUAUUUGGGUUAUGGCAGUCUCAGAUUUUUAGAUUAUCUAAAUGAACAUCCACAGACAAUUUUGCUAUUCAAGAUGGUAAAUUUAAUCAAUCAUACCUUAUGGAAUGAGAAAUUGAGGCAAAACAAAGAGUUGUUGGCAAAUGACCUUUACUCAUUUCUCUCAUUACCAUGGAAGUAUAUGGUUCAAACAUCCUUUGUUACUAUUCAUAUUGCUUUUCAUGACACAUUGCAUAUUUCAUAUCUACCUUUGUUGGUUUUCCACCUUACACAAGUUUAUUUUUAGUUCGUUCCCUUUUUAUAUACUUUUGGUACUUUGUACUCUGGUUGUAAAGCAGCGGAUGGGGAAGUUGAAGAAUAUCUUUGUAAAUCUGGAAACUUUUUAAUAAUUGUUGUUGUACUUGAUGUUUUCCGAAUUUACAAUUGUAUGAUACAUUGAGCUAUGUUGAACAAUGAGGAUGGAUGAUGUCUGCAAUUGGGAAGCUGCACUUUAAUUCAAGAGGUAUGGAAGAAGACCAUUCCAUUCAACAGAUGUUGACUGUUGAUGGUUGUUAUGGGAGUAGAAGAGCUUUUUUGUGCACAGAUAAAUUGCAUUGGCCUGCACAAUGACAUAGGAGCCUAUUCUCGGGUUGAAGAGGGACGGGAAGAUAUUGGAGGAGGCAAUUCAUUUCCAGAGGUGUAUCACUAAAAGCUGAUGAAAAGCAGGACCAGAGUCUUUUCUUCCAGGUUAAAUAGUUAUCAAGUUUUGCCCAAGCUUAUCAACUUAUGCCCAAGGAGUAUCAGCAUUUUGAUUGUUGCAUCCAUAAUGUUUGGAAUAUACAAUUUUGAUGAUUGCAUCUGUUGGGACAAAUCUGCUGAGAACAUAUCCCUGCUGCUGGUGAGAUUUCAGUUCACUUUCACAGUAGCUGCUCGUCUGGCAAUGUUUUCCUAUCAUCCUUUGGUAAUUGACACCAUCUUCUAGUUUUUUCUUAAAUAUGGUGCAUUUGGAGCUCGUCUGGCAAUGUUUUCCUAUCAUCCUUUGGUAAUUGACACCAUCUUCAGGUCUUCUCUUAAAUAUGGUGCAUUUGGAGCUCGUCUGGCAAUGUUUUCCCAUCAUCCUUUGGUAAUUCACACCAUCUUCAAGUAUUCUCUUACAUAUGGUGCAUUUGGAGCUGAUUACAAAUUUGAAUCACUUUGCCGUCUUUCUGUUCACUGAUCUGUUGAAACUAGAUAUGCUAAAUCUCUUUUCAUACAAUCCUUCUGUACUCUGUGGUGCUAAUGGACAUUCAAUAGAGGAGAUUGCUCCAAAUCCAGUGGGCAUUGCUCAGCUUGCAAACAGAGGAGUUAGCAGAGAUAUUCAGAGUACUUGAUCUUAUUUUGGCAGAUAAGAAUACCAUAGAGGUUAUUCCUUAAUCACCAUGUACUAAUGUGUGUUGGUUUUUUCAUAGAAUCAUAGUUUUCUUGCAACAACUAAUUGAAUCAAAUGAUUACGCUAUCUCAUCUAGGCAAUGGUUUAUGAAGUUCAAAGAAGAAUGUGUUGAUGUAUAAAACAAUCUAUUAUAUACGACAUUCUUUUGUGCACAAA